GGUCCGAUGGUGUAGUUGGUUAUCACAUUCGCUUCACAUUCCAAUGAUUCGCGAGCGGUCCUCGGUUCGAUCCCGGGUCGGAUCA